rnacentral:rRNA from 1 species
UACGGAGGAUGCAAGCGUUAUCCGGAAUUAUUGGGCGUAAAGCGUACGUAGGCUGUUUUAUAAGUCUGUUGUCAAAGACUGAGGCUUAACCUUGGGAAGGCAAUGGAAACUGUAAGGCUAGAGAGAGAUAGGGGCAGGAGGAAUUCCAGGUGUAGCGGUGAAAUGCGUAGAUAUCUGGAAGAACACCAGUGGCGAAAGCGUCCUGCUGGGUCUCAACUGACGCUGAAGUACGAAAGCUAGGGGAGCGAAGGGG